rnacentral:rRNA from 1 species
CACAGAGGGUGCGAGCGUUAAUCGGACUUACUGGGCGUAAAGGGCGCGUAGGUGGAAAAUUAAGUCAGGUGUGAAAUCCCAGGGCUCAACCUUGGAAUUGCACUUGAUACUGGUUUUCUAGAGUAUGGUAGAGGGAAGGGGAAUUUCCGGUGUAGCGGUGAAAUGCGUAGAUAUCGGAAGGAACAUCAGUGGCGAAGGCGCCUUCCUGGACCAAUACUGACACUGAGGCGCGAAAGCGUGGGUAGCAAACAGG